rnacentral:lncRNA from 1 species
UCCACUCAAAAAACUGGUGCUAACCAUUAUCAGUGUUCACCAAAAAGAAGAAGAAAAAGAAGAAAAGGAACUCGAAGUAGUAGGGUAGUAAUUACCCAAAACGGAAAAAAAAAACCAGUAGGGUAGUAGCAGUACCAUAUGAUGAUGUAAUUACAUAAGAUGCAUGUGAGUAUAUGUAGGAAAAUGAUAAUAUACAUCUACAUGUUUGUACAUGAAUGCAUUUAACCAAAAGUAAUGGAAAUAGUAUCUAAAUUUGAGUAUAUAAGGGAAUUUGUAAGCACAUGAACGUGCCUAUGUUAUCUACGUACCCAAAAAUAUGAGUAUGUGAAGUUUGAUGCCUUUUUUGAUUGUCCAAUGCACAUCUACUACUUCAGAGGGACCAACUUGCACACACCAUGAUGCAACAUAGAUUUCACAGAAUUAUUGAAAGCUAGGAAAGAAAUAUUAUAGAGCUAUCAAUGAUUUGUGCAAAUAGAAGCCUACAAAUUCUAACAUAUGUAUUCUAUCAAAACCACAAUCUAUUUAGAAACAGUCUGUGUGGAUACCAUAAAGAAAAGCCAUAAUGCAUCUAACUCAUACUCAAAUCUUAGCAUUUACCAAAAAAAUUACAAAUACAUAUCACAUUCCGAUAUUAUCUUGCUUCUCAUGUCACCAUGUCCGAAGAAUCAAAUUAUACACUCCCAAAAAUAUUAAAAGAUGUUACAAUUAAAGAGAAGUCCACCAAAAAUUAGAGUUAGCUGCAGUUAUAUGAUAAUUCAGGUUCAAUAUCUCUAUUUUGUUGACGACUGCAUUACCAAUCAAAAGAUCUGCAAAAGAUGAGAGAAAUGAAAAAACAGAUUCACCCAAAAUAAAUUAUGUUAUCCAUUAAUUCUUCCAAAUACCACUGCAAAAAUGUAACUACCCUCCAUUUUCAUGUAAAAAUGGUUAUUUAAAUCAUGCGAUUCCAAAUUAAAUGUUUCUAAAUCAAACCCACGGCAUAUUAUUUGGUAACAUCUAGAACAUGCUAUGAGGCCAUAAAAAAAUGAGGAAGAAAACCUAGUUUGAAAAACAAAGGAAGGAAUGCUAAAGAUACUCAAUUAUUAAAUUUCCCAAUCUCCCACAAGUUCACGACGCAUACGGAUUUAGAGCAAAAACGAAAGCCCACAUCAUAAUUCUCUGAAUAUUCAUCACAUACCCAAAAAAGCCAGGAAAGACAUGAUUGACUGGGAGUUCUUUAGUAGCUAAGACGUGGCACGCAUUUUGGUACAUCCUCCUCCUUGCGAUUUGGCUUUCCCUCUCUUCACUAGAACCUCCAUGAAGAAGCUUUCUUCUAUCUAAAGUGUCUGGGAAGUUUGCAAAGAGAAUGUGCGUAGCAGCACAAAGAGAGUGAGGGACCUUCACAAAGCAGUAGAGAGGGCGACGGGAGAGAGGGGACCUUCGCAGAGCAGUAGAGAGGCCGAACAAGAGAGAAGAAAGGUUAGCAGAGCAGGGGAGGGUAGAAGAAAGGUUAGCAGAGCAGGGGAGGGUAGAAGGUGA